rnacentral:snRNA from 1 species
GCUUCAAUAGCACAUACUAAAAUUGGAACUAUACAGAGAAGAUAAGCAUGACCCCUGUGCAAGGAUGACACACAAAUUUGUAAAGCAUUCUGUAUUUUU